GACGAACGCUGGCGGCGUGCUUAACACAUGCAAGUCGAACGGAAAGGCCCUGCUUUUGUGGGGUGCUCGAGUGGCGAACGGGUGAGUAACACGUGAGUAACCUGCCCUUGACUUUGGGUUAACUUCAGGAAACUGGGGCUAAUACCGGAUAGGAGCUCCUGCUGCAUGGUGGGGGUUGGAAAGUUUCGGCGGUUGGGGAUGGACUCGCGGCUUAUCAGCUUGUUGGUGGGGUAGUGGCUUACCAAGGCUUUGACGGGUAGCCGGCCUGAGAGGGUGACCGGCCACAUUGGGACUGAGAGACGGCCCAGACUCCUACGGGAGGCAGCAGUGGGGAAUAUUGCACAAUGGGCGGAAGCCUGAGGCAGCAACGCCGCGUGCGGGAUGACGGCCUUCGGGUUGUAAACCGCUUUCGCCUGUGACGAAGCGUGAGUGACGGUAAUGGGUAAAGAAGCACCGGCUAACUACGUG
rnacentral:rRNA from 1 species